rnacentral:lncRNA from 10 species
GCUGAUUGGUGCAUUUUACAAUCCUCUCGUAAGACAGAAAAGUUCUCCAAGUCCCCACUGGACCCAGGAAGUCCAGCUGGCUUCACCUCUCGCUAGGGGCACCUGCAGGAGACGCAGCAGAUAUAGGCAUCUUUGGAUGGGAUCUUGCUGUGUCACCCAGGCUGGAGUGCAGUGAUCAUCGUGUGUCCGGAAUUGGUGGGUUCUUGGUCUCACUGACUUCAAGAAGGAAGCUGGUGGCCCUCGAGAUGGAGUCUCGCUCUGUCUCACCUAAGCUGGAGUGCAGUGGCGCGAUCUCAGCUCAUUGCAGCCUCUGUCGCCCGGUAUGUCUGGAGUUGGUUCCUUCCGGUGGGUUCCUGGUGUGGCUGACUUCAAGAACGAAGCCGUGGACCUUCAAGCUCGUGUGAAGAUAUUUUCAAGCAUGAAUAGUUGUUCAAAUUGAUGUUUCUGUGGCGGGACAAUCACUGUAAAGUCCUAUUUUGCCAUCUUGCUUCACUCCUAUCCAGCAAAAGAGAGAAUCUUGAAAGCAUCACAAGAGAAGUAAACUUGUCUCAUAUAAGGGAUCCUCAAUAAGAUUAACAGCUGAUUUCUCAUCAGAAACCAUGGAGGCCGGAAAGUUGGCAUAUUUAAAAUGAUGAAAGAAAAAAAAAACUGUCAACCAAGAACUCUAUAUCCAAAAAAUAAUUCCUUAGAAAAUUUGUAAUUUAAUUUUUAUUUCUAAUAAAAUGAACACUUCACAAAUUUGCACGUCAUCCUUGCCCAGGGGCCAUCCUAAUCUUCUCUGUGUCAUUCCAGUUUCUAGUAUAUAUGCUACUGAAGCAAGGGAAC